rnacentral:lncRNA from 1 species
GGAUCUAGAUGGUCAGCGGUCAGCAAGUACUGGUGCCUGACGUCGGAUUUCUAACGUCGAAUGACGAAUCUCAGUACAGUACCUCUAGCGAUUUUGGUCUUUGUCGGGGUUGCAUACCAAGAAUCGAAAUUUGCGUCCUUGCAGCGAUCAAAAUAUCAAAUGGGUUACCUUACUCAUUCACCUUCCAGAAUGACUAGGUUCUAGUCAAACCGACAACAACAGAUUCUUUACCAUACACACAACCAUGAAGCUAUCUGUUUCCAAUUAUUGACUGUGCAUUUAGCCUAGAUUUUGUAACUUGGCAAAAAAAAAUCAUACAUUUUACUUUUAUUAUGGAGUACGUCAAAAUUUAAAACAAUCAUGCAAGUGAGACAUGGAAUGAAACUGAGCCUUAGAGCCUCCACGGUGUGUACCAAAUUAAGUGCCAAAUUGGGUAUAUUUCAUUUUUGGCAUCGUUUCAUGCCAUUAUAGUGCCAAAUGAAAAAAAAAAUGAAACCGGAACAACUUCCCGCUUAGGUGCUAAAUAUCUCCAUGUAAUAGAAAAACGAUAUUCAACAUGCACCUUUCUGAUUGCCUUCUCUCUCAGUACACCUUCUGCGGUGUGACUUGUAAGAGAGAUGAAGUAGGAAAGGGAAUAGAGUUUUUUAUGUAAGCUUUAACAACGGUGGGCCCCAUGCAUGCAGAGAUUUGGCUUUGGCAU